rnacentral:rRNA from 1 species
UACGUAGGGGGCAAGCGUUAUCCGGAAUUAUUGGGCGUAAAGCGAGCGCAGGUGGUUUAUUAAGUCUGGUGUAAAAGGCAGUGGCUCAACCAUUGUAUGCAUUGGAAACUGGUAGACUUGAGUGCAGGAGAGGAGAGUGGAAUUCCAUGUGUAGCGGUGAAAUGCGUAGAUAUAUGGAGGAACACCGGUGGCGAAAGCGGCUCUCUGGCCUGUAACUGACACUGAGGCUCGAAAGCGUGGGGAGCAAACAGG